rnacentral:sRNA from 1 species
UCCCCUUUGGAGAUCACUGGAAACAGCUUCUGGACCACAAAUGGGGUGAACUACUGUAUCGAGAAAGGAGAGAGUAAGACUUGAGAGCUAUCUUGUUAGCUCAGGGUGCAGUCUGUACUUUAAAACAAGUGUGGAAGUGGAGCACUCUACAUAUCCUAAGUGCCAAAAAUAUUCUCUUCAUGAAAUUCGCCAGAUCUGCAAAACACAGCUCCUUUUGAAGAGAAGAGCCAGGGAACUCCAUUAGCAGGCUUUGAUGGCAUUAAUAAUUCAGAGAGGUGCCGUGUAUCUUCUUUGAGAUAGACAGAAGGGUCCCUUUUAAUGUACAACCAGGCAGUAGAGAGGAGAGGACACGGGUUGGAGAGAAGAGGAGGUUGCAAGCCAGCACCUGGCCCACACCAGGGGAUGGAAGCUAAUUGUGAAAAGCUGCCGCACUACAGCUGCUGCCUUUUGAAAAAUGCAAACUGUGUUUUGUGCAAACAUAUCAUCCACUUACGGAGGCUUGCUCUGUCGCCCAGGCUGGAGUGCAGUGGCGCGACCUCGGCUCAGUGCAACCUCCGCCUCCUAGGUUCAAGCAAUUCUCUGCCUCAGCCUCACGAGUAGCUGGAAUUACAGGUGCUCGCCACCACACCUUGCUAAUUUUUAAAUUUUUAGUAGAAACGGGGUUUUAGCAUCUUGGCCAGGCUUGUCUUGAACUCCUAACCUCGCGAUUCACCCGCCUUGGCCUCCCAAAGUUUUGGGACUACAGGCAUGAGAAAAAAAAAUAAUAAAAAA